CCCAAACGUCAAGCUAAAGGAGGAGGAGGAGGGGGGGUAUGGCCACGCCCCCAGUCCCGGACCCUCCCAUUUUGGGGGAAGAGGGAAGGCGCAAAGGACCAAGGCGCAGCCACUCUGCCCCUGAAACCCAACCAAUCCUCCACUCUUUCCACACUCUUUUCCCCAAAGACAUAGGACUUGGUAGUCCUCCUCCCCACCCACGAGGGCUACAGAAUGGUUUGGUCCGAAUCAACCCCCCCCAGGUCCCCACUUUGGUUUCUUCCACUGUCGCAGGUCGCGGUUUGCCAAAGAUGGUCAUUUGCGUCGAGCGCGGGUUUCCUUGCCCUGAAUUGUUUUAAAAGCAAAAAAGAAUGCAUGGCAGUCGCAUCCUUUUCUGGCAUUGCCGAGGCUUGACACUUCCCUGAAGUGGAGAUAGAGGAGAAGAUAACUUCUGCAAAUACCUCAACAUUUCACAGACAAAAACUGGGAUGCAAGCAACAUCAGAACAUGAUCAAGAUAGCAAAAGUUAUUACUGAGUAAAAACAUGCAAACUAGUCUUUCAAUCUUAAAUAUAUAUUUGGGUGUCUUCUGCAUACUGAUAGCAUCCUGCCCCAUGUUUCCAGAUGAUCUCUCUGAGCAACAGAUGUAACUCUAUUAUACCCUCAUUAUUAAAAAGUAAGU